CCAGUAACGGCGAGUGAAAAGGGAAAAGUCCAUCGCUAAAUCGUUUUGCCUCAGGCAUUAUGAGGUGUAGCGUAUAAGUCGUAAACUUUGAUCUUUUGUCUCAAACAAGUCCCCUUGACAGAGGUUCCACAGAAGGUGCAAGUCCUGUACGUUGAGAUAAUUGAUCGAUAUUUGCGUGCUUUAGAGUCGGGUUGUUUGGGAUCGCAGCCCAAAGUCGGUGGUAAACUUCAUCUAAGACUUAAUAUUGCCACGAGACCGAUAGCAAACAAGUACUGUGAAGGAAAGUUGCAAAGCACUUUGAAGAGAGAGUUAAAGAGGACGUGAAACCGGUAAGGUGGAAACGGAUAGAGUCGGCGUAUCAUUCAAUUAUUCAGUUACAUUAUUUUUAUGUUGUGACCUCUGAGCUCCAGAUUGGGACAGAGGGAAUCAGCAUAAUUUUUUGUGGUGCAUUUACUUGAUUGGUGCUUGGGGAUGUUUGAGGCAGAUUUGUUUCCGUCGUUUUGAGGCCAGCUUGCUGGUACCCAAACGGUGUUAGCAUUUUUUGUCUUGGGCAUUUGAGUAUGGCUCACGUGUAUUUAUUGGACAGAUCUGAGUGUAAGUUACGGUCGCAUGCGACACGUGCUUUUCAAUUAGUUCGGUCCAGUUAAUGCUCUCGUACUCGUUCCCCAUGUAAAAGCCGGUCAUCUAUCCGACCCGUCUUGAAACACGGACCAAGGAGUUUAUCGUGUGCGCAAGUUUUUGGGUGUUAAAAACUUAAAAGCGAAAUGAAAGUAAAUGACUCUUUAGAGUCUGAUGUGCGAUCUUGUAAAAAAGUGCAGCAUGGCCCCAUUCUAACUGUUUACAGUAGGGUGGCGGAAGAGCGUACGCGGUGAGACCCGAAAGAUGGUGAACUAUUCCUGAGCAGGACGAAGCCAGAGGAAACUCUGGUGGAAGUCCGAAGCG
rnacentral:rRNA from 1 species